UACGUAGGGUGCAAGCGUUAUCCGGAAUUAUUGGGCGUAAAGAGCUCGUAGGCGGCUCGUCGCGUCGACCGUGAAAACCCGCGGCUUAACUGCGGGCUUGCGGUUGAUACGGGCGGGCUAGAGUUCGGUAGGGGAGACUGGAAUUCCUGGUGUAGCGGUGAAAUGCGCAGAUAUCAGGAGGAACACCGGUGGCGAAGGCGGGUCACUGGGGGUUUUCUGACGCUGAGGAACGAAAGCCAGGGUAGCGAACGGG
rnacentral:rRNA from 1 species